rnacentral:rRNA from 1 species
AACGCUGGCGGCGUGCCUAAUACAUGCAAGUCGAACGGUCUUUCUAUGGAAGCUUGCUUCCACUGAGAAGAUAGUGGCGAACGGGUGAGUAACACGUGGGUAACCUGCCCAUAAGAGGGGGAUAACAUCCGGAAACGGGUGCUAAUACCGCAUAGUUUUCUUGGUCGCAUGAUCGGGAAAGGAAAGACGGCCUUUGUGCUGUCGCUUAUGGAUGGACCCGCGGCGUAUUAGUUAGUUGGUGAGGUAACGGCUCACCAAGACGAUGAUACGUAGCCGACCUGAGAGGGUGAUCGGCCACAUUGGGACUGAGACACGGCCCAAACUCCUACGGGAGGCAGCAGUAGGGAAUCUUCCGCAAUGGACGAAAGUCUGACGGAGCAACGCCGCGUGAGUGAAGAAAAGGUUUUCGGAUCGUAAAACUCUGUUGUCAGAGAAGAACAAGUUGGAGAGUAACUGCUCCAGCCUUGACGGUAUCUGACCAGAAAGCCACGGCUAACUACGUGCCAGCAGCGGC